rnacentral:rRNA from 1 species
UACGUAGGGGGCGAGCGUUAUCCGGAUUCACUGGGUGUAAAGGGAGCGUAGACGGCCAAGCAAGCCAGGGGUGAAAGCCCGGGGCCCAACCCCGGGACUGCCCUUGGAACUGCAUGGCUGGAGUGCGGGAGAGGUAAGUGGAAUUCCUAGUGUAGCGGUGAAAUGCGUAGAUAUUAGGAGGAACACCAGUGGUGAAGGCGGCUUACUGGACUGUAACUGACGUUGAGGCUCGAAAGCGUGGGGAGCAAACAGG